AUCAUUAUUGAAAACAUUGUAAAGGAGGUUUUGAGCUGGCUCUUCUUAGGGGCAUGUGCUCGCCGACUUUCAAUCUUCAUCCACCUGUGAACCUUUUGUAGUGGAUUCUGGAACGGGAGGCGCUUGCGUUUUCUCAGUACGGAGUCUCACUAUGUUUUAACACACACUUAAUGUAUGUUUAGAAUGUGUAUUUUAUUGGGACUUAAUUGACCCUUUAAAAACUAUACAACUUUCAGCAACGGAUCUCUUGGCUCUCGCAUCGAUGAAGAACGCAGCGAAAUGCGAUAAGUAAUGUGAAUUGCAGAAUUCAGUGAAUCAUCGAAUCUUUGAACGCACCUUGCGCCUCUUGGUAUUCCGAGAGGCAUGCCUGUUUGAGUGUCAUUAAAUUCUCAACCUCAAAAAGCUUUUUCGGCUUUGUUUGAGGAUUGGAUGUGAGGGUUGCUGGCUUUUUGAAUAAAGAGUCGGCUCCCUUGAAAUGCAUUAGUGGAAACCGGUUGGUAGACCACAUUGGUGUGAUAAUUAUCUAUGCCAUUAGUCUACGUUUUUUCGAAUGUUGGCCUAGCUAACACUUCGGUUUGGGGGGGCUUGCAAGUUUGUAAUGAACCUGCUCUCUCUGUUAUUGAACGGUAUCUGCUUCAAACUGUCCUAAGUUUAUUGGACAACAAUUAGAUCAU
rnacentral:rRNA from 1 species